AUUGUGAACUUGUGAAAUAGCUCAGUGUGGUAUAUAUCUGGUUGGAAUACUGAAGGUUGUGGGU